rnacentral:misc_RNA from 1 species
ACAGUUUCAUGUGCAAGUGCUGUACAGUGUACACAAAAGUUGUUGUGUGCUUACUUUGCUUAAAUAUAUUGGGUUAAUCUUUCUUAUGCUGGCCUGAAAUUUAAACACGUUCAUGAUUCGCUCCUUACGGUUUACCACACAUUUGUUCCGCACCACAUUCUUGGCUAAUUUUCAGCCACUAAAGCGUGUAAUGAAUACCGGACGUUUGACGUCAAGCAAUGAAAUGAGCGAUUUCAUUGUAAAAAAUAGUGCAACAGAACCACAUCUUACGAUGAGUUUCAUGUACAAACCUUCUGAUGCACGUAUGCAUCGUUUGUUUAAUUUGCAAAGACUGAAAUCCGAACCUCUGAAUCUAACACUUACCAGAAUAUCAAGUAAUAUUGGUAAAGUAAUUGAGAAAAUGCAAAAGAAAAAAAAGAAGACGGCUGGAAAAUCACAAGAAAAUAAUCAACUGAAAAGUGACUGUACUCCUGUUGAAGUUAAAGUGAAGCUAAUGAAAAGCGACUUGACUGAAGUCGAUGAAACUACAUUAAAUGUUGAGGCAUGGCAAGAUGAAUAUUUACUUGUGAUUGAAGACACCAGGUUCAUUGUAUCGGUCAAUCCACCUCAAGUGAAAAGCUUAAAAUUACCAACUACAAUAUUUUCCGGAUCUCUGUUAUAUCCGCGCAUUCACCUGGAAUUUUCAGAUAAAGAAAAUUCUGAGUGGUAUUGGUUUACCCAAGAUGGUGGAGAUGGGGCAGAAAAAUUUAUUCAAUCUCCCCAUACUAGUGGUGCACCUUCUGGAAGAUCCAGUAAUGUUGUGGACCUUUGUCAAAGUCUUGGGUUACUAGAAGUAGGAGUAACAUGGCAAUUAGUUGCAGAAGGGUGGUGUAUCACAUCUGCUGUAGACCUGGUCAGUUGCACCCUAGCUCUUGUUUGCAUUCCUGGAAACGGAGAAAAAAGAGGAAGGCCUGCUGUGGCAAAAGCUGGAAAAAUCACUGAAGGACCUGGACCUUGCCCAUUUGAGCUUCGCCAUCUUCAUACUAAGGAUAUCUCGAGUCAUGGUUGUUUCAGAGUGGCCUCCUACAAUAUUCUCGCAGAUCUUUAUGCCGAUUCUGAUUUUUCAAGAGAACAUCUCUUUCCUCACUGCCCUGCAUCUGCUUUGCAUAUUGACUAUAGAAAGCAACUGUUUGUGAGAGAAAUUGUUGGGUACAAUGCUGAUAUCAUAUGUCUACAGGAAGUUGAUAAGAAGAUAUAUGAGCAUGAUCUUUCACCUCUGCUUGGACUCAUGCAUCUAGAUAGCAUCUACUGCAAGAAGGGAGCAGAUGGCAUGGAAGGCGAAGCUACUUUCUUCAGGCAGUCAAAGUUCAAACUGAUUGACCAAGGAUGUAUUGUGAUGUCAGAGCAAAUUGUUCAGUCUCAGCACCAUCUCAUUUUAGAUGCAUUGUCCCUAAAUACAGAGCUAAGAGAUAAAUUUCGUCAAUUACCAACAGUUUUGCAGUAUGUUGUGCUAGAGUCUAGAGAGACUGAAGGCCUCGGAGUAGUGGUUGGUAACACACAUCUUUACUUCCAUCCAAAUGCCGGACUUAUUCGUCAAAUCCAAAUGCUGGUGGCAUUGCAUCAUCUAGAGAGUGUGGUGAAAUUGCAAGAAGCACAGGUGAAAAUGAACAAAGAGUGGAUGGAAUUGAUUUUAAGCAACCGUUUAAGCUAGCCAGUGCGUGUGGGUUUCCGGAAUACACAAAUCAUGUUGGUGGGUUUUCUGAAACCUUGGACUACAUCUUUAUUGAUAAAGACAAACUGGUAGUGGACAGGGUUAUUCCAAUGCCUAGUCAUGAGGAAGUGAUUCUACACAAAGGGCUGCCUAGUGUUGUAUUUCCCAGUGAUCACAUUGCACUAGUCUGCGAUUUAACAUGGAAGGAGUUCUCUAAACAGUGAUCACUCAACAAAUCUGUGAUGUUUAGGUAAAAUUACUUGUGAAUGAGACCAGCCAACAUGCAUAGUAAUAUAAGAUGCCAGCAAAUGUUAAUGGUUUAUCGCCGCUAAAUUAUCUUGAUUUUUACAACAUUUUACAACAUAGAUUUGUUAUAAAAAAGCUAUGACAAUGUUAUAUAAAACAGGGUCUGUGGCUAGCAGCAUGUAAUACAGAUUGUUACUAAUCUUACGCAGGCUGAUAUGCAGAUUGUUGUAGUCAGAUCAACUAGUAUCACGGCAAGAGCAUAUAUCCAUCAACAAUAACAGCAGAAAGUUGAACAGCGACCCCACAGUAUUCAUGUUCGGCACAAGAAAGUUGUGCGUGUAUGUGCGUGUGUGGUGGUGGGGGGGGGGGGUAUCUGAAAUGCCAGUGUCGGACCAGAAAUGGAAGUCAAGAGUCAAAGUUCAAGGUUAAAUAGGAAAAGGGAAAUGUCUUAUUCACCCAUCAUCUUAAGUUGGACCAUCAUCUGUGGUUCUGCUCUUCGUGGUUCUUACUGCCUAGCGUUGAUCUAAGCUCAUUGCACAGGUUAAAAAAAUUGCAACUUUUAAAACAUAAAUGCAGCUUGACGUAAACUUUUCACAUUUAGGAUAUGGUCGUGGUGGGCAGCACUUUUCAUGUUAAAUAUUAUGCCAAAUGUGAAAAGCCAGCAGCUGAAAGCUAACGUUGUAGAUAUUUUCAUGAACGUGGGUUGACAGACCAAAUAAAAAGCUUUUUACAACACUGA